rnacentral:rRNA from 1 species
GAUGAACGCUGGCGGCGUGCCUAAUACAUGCAAGUCGAGCGAACGGACGAGAAGCUUGCUUCUCUGAUGUUAGCGGCGGACGGGUGAGUAACACGUGGAUAACCUACCUAUAAGACUGGGAUAACUUCGGGAAACCGGAGCUAAUACCGGAUAAUAUUUUGAACCGCAUGGUUCAAAAGUGAAAGACGGUCUUGCUGUCACUUAUAGAUGGAUCCGCGCUGCAUUAGCUAGUUGGUAAGGUAACGGCUUACCAAGGCAACGAUGCAUAGCCGACCUGAGAGGGUGAUCGGCCACACUGGAACUGAGACACGGUCCAGACUCCUACGGGAGGCAGCAGUAGGGAAUCUUCCGCAAUGGGCGAAAGCCUGACGGAGCAACGCCGCGUGAGUGAUGAAGGUCUUCGGAUCGUAAAACUCUGUUAUUAGGGAAGAACAUAUGUGUAAGUAACUGUGCACAUCUUGACGGUACCUAAUCAGAAAGCCACGGCUAACUACGUGCCAGCAGCCGCGGUAAUACGUAGGUGGCAAGCGUUAUCCGGAAUAUUGGGCGUAAAGCGCGCGUANGCGGUUUUUUAGUCUGAUGUGAAAGCCCACGGCUCAACCGUGGAGGGUCAUUGGAAACUGGAAAACUUGAGUGCAGAAGAGGAAAGUGGAAUUCCAUGUGUAGCGGUGAAAUGCGCAGAGAUAUGGAGGAACACCAGUGGCGAAGGCGACUUUCUGGUCUGUAACUGACGCUGAUGUGCGAAAGCGUGGGGAUCAAACAGGAUUAGAUACCCUGGUAGUCCACGCCGUAAACGAUGAGUGCUAAGUGUUAGGGGGUUUCCGCCCCUUAGUGCUGCAGCUAACGCAUUAAGCACUCCGCCUGGGGAGUACGACCGCAAGGUUGAAACUCAAAGGAAUUGACGGGGACCCGCACAAGCGGUGGAGCAUGUGGUUUAAUUCGAAGCAACGCGAAGAACCUUACCAAAUCUUGACAUCCUUUGACAACUCUAGAGAUAGAGCCUUCCCCUUCGGGGGACAAAGUGACAGGUGGUGCAUGGUUGUCGUCAGCUCGUGUCGUGAGAUGUUGGGUUAAGUCCCGCAACGAGCGCAACCCUUAAGCUUAGUUGCCAUCAUUAAGUUGGGCACUCUAAGUUGACUGCCGGUGACAAACCGGAGGAAGGUGGGGAUGACGUCAAAUCAUCAUGCCCCUUAUGAUUUGGGCUACACACGUGCUACAAUGGACAAUACAAAGGGCAGCGAAACCGCGAGGUCAAGCAAAUCCCAUAAAGUUGUUCUCAGUUCGGAUUGUAGUCUGCAACUCGACUACAUGAAGCUGGAAUCGCUAGUAAUCGUAGAUCAGCAUGCUACGGUGAAUACGUUCCCGGGUCU